AUACGGAGGGUGCAAGCGUUAAUCGGAUUUAUUGGGCGUAAAGAGCGCGUAGGCGGUAAUGAAAGUCGGACGUGAAAGACCGAAGCUUAACUUCGGGAACGCGUACGAAACUUCAUUACUAGAGGAUAGGCGGGGAAAGCGGAAUUCCACGUGUAGCGGUGAAAUGCGUAGAUAUGUGGAAGAACACCGGUGGCGAAGGCGGCUUUCUAGCUUAUUCCUGACGCUGAGGCGCGAAAGCGAGGGGAGCAAACAGGAUUAGAAACCCCGGUAGUCC
rnacentral:rRNA from 1 species